GGUCAAGUUAUUAAGGGUGCAGGGCGGAUGCCUUGGCACUAGGAGCCGAUGAAGGACGUGAUAAGCUGCGAUAAGCUUCGGGGAGUUGCACGUAAACUUUGAUCCGAAGAUUUCCGAAUGAGGAAACUCACUUAGAGUAAUGUCUAAGUAUCAUUAAGUGAAUACAUAGCUUAAUGAGGGGAACUCAGGGAACUGAAACAUCUAAGUACCUGAAGGAAGAGAAAGAAAUUCGAUUCCGUAAGUAGCGGCGAGCGAA
rnacentral:rRNA from 1 species